rnacentral:rRNA from 1 species
GAUGAACGCUGGCGGCGUGCCUAAUACAUGCAAGUCGAGCGAACGGACGAGAAGCUUGCUUCUCUGAUGUUAGCGGCGGACAGGUGAGUAACACGUGGAUAACCUACCUAUAAGACUGGGAUAACUUCGGGAAACCGGAGCUAAUACCGGAUGAUAUUUUGAACCGCAUGGUUCAAAAGUGAAAGACGGUCUUGCUGUCACUUAUAGAUGGAUCCGCGCUGCAUUAGCUAGUUGGUAAGGUAACGGCUUACCAAGGCAACGAUGCAUAGCCGACCUGAGAGGGUGAUCGGCCACACUGGAACUGAGACACGGUCCAGACUCCUACGGGAGGCAGCAGUAGGGAAUCUUCCGCAAAGGGCGAAAGCCUGACGGAGCAACGCCGCGUGAGUGAUGAAGGUCUUCGGAUCGUAAAACUCUGUUAUUAGGGAAGAACAUAUGUGUAAGUAACUGUGCACAUCUUGACGGUACCUAAUCAGAAAGCCACGGCUAACUACGUG